ensembl:lncRNA LINC02706 long intergenic non-protein coding RNA 2706
CGAGUGGCCUCUUCUCCUCCUCCACAGACACCUCGGGGAGGGGUCAUCCUUCAGACACGCUGAGCCUAGGCUGCCCGCCCUUCCGCAGCCCCGCCCUGGCCGGCUCCUCGCGGCCCACUAGGCCGGUUCUUCCCCACGUCAGGACCCCGCCACCCCACUCUGCCCCUCCACCCGAGGCUGCCUUAUCCUUUUGCUUUCUCUCUUAAAUCUGCUGCCCGUUACUGCUAUUCUACCCUUUGGUUUGAAUGGGGAGGCACUGGCCUCGGAGCUCCUUGCUGCUGACAUCAGUUGUGCCCUUGUAGGAGACGUCCUGGUCCUGUCUGCCUCAGAGGCUUCCAUCUGCGGAUUUCCUGAGGUCGUCCCCUUACUCCUCUGCUGCAGUCUCUCUCAACAUUUCAACUGUCUGCUCCAGAAAGUUACUCUGUCACUAAGUAAAAUAAAUACAAACAAAAUAAGCAAUAA